rnacentral:rRNA from 1 species
UGUAAAUCAGGGUGGGGCCGCCCCGCGUGGG